GACGAACGCUGGCGGCGUGCUUAACACAUGCAAGUCGAACGGUAAGGCCUUUCGGGGUCAUACGAGUGGCGAACGGGUGAGUAACACGUGAGCAACCUGCCCUUGACUUCGGAAUACCAGCUGGAAACAGCCGCCAAUACCCGAUAUGACCCUGGUCCUCCUGGCCUGGGGUGGAAAGCUCCGGCGGGCCGGGGUGGGCUCGGGGCCUCUCCGCUUGUUGGGGCGGCAAUGGCCCACCAAGGCGUCGACGGGGAGCCGGCCGGCGGGGGCGACCGGCCACACUGGGACUGAGAGACGGCCCAGACGCCUGCGGGGGGCAGCAGGGGGGAAUAUUGCACAAUGGGCGCGAGCCGGAUGCAGCAACGCCGCGUGCGGGAGGACGGCCUUCGGGUUGUAAACCGCGUUCAGUAGGGACGAAGCCACAAGUGACGGUACCUACAGAAGAAGGACCGGCUAACUACGUG
rnacentral:rRNA from 1 species